rnacentral:rRNA from 1 species
GACGAACGCUGGCGGCGUGCUUAACACAUGCAAGUCGAGCGGUAAGGCCCUUUCGGGGGUACACGAGCGGCGAACGGGUGAGUAACACGUGGGUGACCUGCCCUCAGCUCUGGGAUAAGCCUGGGAAACCGGGUCUAAUACUGGAUAUGACUCCAUGACGCAUGUUGUGGGGUGGAAAGCCUUGUGCGGCUGAGGAUGGGCCCGCGGCCUAUCAGCCUGUUGGUGGGGUGANGGCCUACCAAGGCGACGACGGGUAGCCGGCCUGAGAGGGCGACCGGCCACACUGGGACUGAGACACGGCCCAGACUCCUACGGGAGGCAGCAGUGGGGAAUCUUGCGCAAUGGGCGAAAGCCUGACGCAGCGACGCCGCGUGAGGGAUGACGGCCU